UUGUAAGGUUGAGUUCUCUAACACUACUAGAAAAUUAGGCAAUAGCCACCAAAAUUUGCAACCGAAAGAAAAUGGUAGCAAAAUCAGUUACCAUUUUUCAACCAAAAUAUUAUUGGUAGCAACUACAUCUCAAAUAUCCAAAAUAAUAAAAAUUUAUAUAAUACGGUUGUAAAAUGGUGACAAAUAUGUAAAAAUAUAACGUUUUAUUGAAGUUGCCACGGCUUUUUGACGUCAAUUCAGCUUGCAACCGUCACAUGGUCACAAAUUAGUGAAAAAAAUUAAGCGGAAAUAUCAAAAUUGCCCAAAAUUUAAGCGUGAAUAUCAAUUAAGCAGAUCUAGGGUUUUGAUGCUGAAGUCUAGUCUGCUCCCCAAAAUCACUAGAACUAUAAACUUCUCUCCCCCAUCAUUGAUCGAAUCAUCCUCCGCUCAACCAUCACCGAUGGAAUCAUCCUCCGCUCCACCUCACUGUCAACGACGUCCCCUGAAUCACAUGGCAACGAUUUCACACCGUCCGUUCGCACCACCACUCCGUCACCGGAACACUCGCAGUCAUCACCGGCCACUCGUUUCAAGCCCUUAGAUAUAUCAAAAGUUUGACUUAAGGAAGAGCUGGCUAGCUGGGGGAAUUUUAGAGGCGAGGAAUCCUACAUGCUAAUGUAAGUGCUUCUACACUUUAGUUACAUUAUUAAAUGUCACUUAAAUGGUUAUUAAUAUUAUUGUGUGUGUAUAAUUGGGAUACAUAUUUUUGUUGAAUCAAAGUGCUAUUACAUUUACAUAGUGGAAUACAAACGGUAGUGUUAUAAUAUUGUUGAUAUGACAACAUGAAGUUGAGUUAUGUUUUUAAUGCUUAAUUAUAAAUCAAGAUACUUAUAUAACCAAUAGGAUUGAAACUAUAAUUUGAGCUAUAAAAUGAAGAGUGAGCUGGAUAUUUCAAUUGGGAAUUGAACUAGAAUGAGUUUGACUUUUCUCUAAAAUACAUGUUGCUAGUAGUCAUAAGCAGGACCAAGAACAAUAUCCUUGUUGUUGAUCUGGGCAAAACAUUUUUUUAUUUCGUAUCCACUUUGCUACUGCUAUUAUAUUGUGUGCAAAUGUACUUUAUUUGUGUUGACCCGUUAUUCAACCUGCAUAUCUGGCCUUUUGGUCGCAGCUUUUAGGGUUGUAUAGAAUUGCUCUUGCUGGUUACCUUUGUAUGUAUUUAAACCAGCAUAACUGGCUUCUUCUUUUUUUGGUUGUAGCUAUUACACUGUAUAGAUAUAUUUUUUUUGCUGAUUGAUCUGCAUUACAGCCAGUAGGUUCAUCGCUUGGGUCGCUAUUUGUCUCUUUAUCUUAAGAAAUCACUUUUUUUUAAUAAGUGGUGAUUUCAUUUGGGUAAGGUGGCUAUAAUAUGUGGCGUUUGGUUUCUCAUAAUUCUGAGGUUAAAUUCCAUGACAGCCCUUAUUUUUUCUACUUCUUAGUGUUCAUUGCUGCCCUAACAAAAAAGAGAACUAGUUUAUAUUAUGCCAAAUUGCAUGGGGUAAAACGGUAAACUAGUCAUUUUAGUAACUUGAAAUCACAAGAGUUUUGUUAACUUUAAGAAAAAUACAAACUAAAAAUGUACAUGUUUUCGUAACUUACGAGCUCACUUAUUGUGUCGGCUAUAGAUAUCACUGACUCCAAGCUCAUGCUUCCUAACUUCGAUAUUAAUAUGACAUGACACAAAAACCCGACACGAACCUAACACUAAACGCGGGUUUCGGUUUAGUCUAAACGGGUUCGGAUGGGUUUAAUGUUGAACCUGCGAACCCGUUUAAGUAAAGGGUUGGGUUCAUGUCGAACCCAUCAGGUUGGCGGGUUAACCCGUUUACUUAUUUAUAUUAUAUUUAGUUUUUUAAAUGUGUUGUUGGCAGUGAUAUACAUUUGUAUUUUUUUUGUUGUAUAAUUCUAAAUUUAACAUAUUAUUCUGCUAAAAAAAAUUCGGGUUAAACGGGUUGUGUGCGGAUCAACCCGUGAAUAUCCGUGUUGUGUUUGGUUUCAUGUGUCUAACCCGAUUUUCAUGUAUAUUGUGUUAAACUAAGGUUAAUGGUUGUAUUUUAAUUCAUCUUAGGCUCUUAGAGCAUUCACAUCCAAUCCAUCAAAUUAUACAUACAUUCCACUAAAAAACAACUCAUAUAUCAAUAUAUUUCCACUAAAAACAAAUACUUUUUCUCUCUCCUUUCAAUUAAAUAAUAUUAUCAUUACCUUUUUCUCUCACUCCCACUCACAACCACUUUCAAAAUAUAUUAAAAAAUUAUAACGGGUGAACAGUGUCCCCCCAAAUAUACAGAUGAACAGUAACAUUUUCUCUCUCCUCUACUCACAACCACUUUUUAUACCCUUUAUAAAAUAAAAACCCCUCCUCACAUAAUUUGAUGGUUAGGAUGUGAAUGCUCUUAUUCUACAGUUUCCAACAAAUGGUAAGUGGUGAAAAUGUUGGAAGUCGACACAAGCUAAUGAUAUCAUGACUAUGGAAGUCUGUAACAGAUGUACAAGAUCCAUUGUGAAGCGACCGUUUUUCAUUUUUCAUCUACUGGUAUGGUUUAGUUUCAAUGUCAAAAGAAUCCUUGUAAGUUGUUGGUUUGUUUGACCUCAAAAUUCAAACUUGAUCAUUUUUCAUCUACUGGUGUGGUUUAGUUUAUUUUUGAACAACCAAAUGCAACUCUUGGAUCAUGUAUGCAGCUGGUCAAUAACUUAUUAAGACCUGCUAUCAACAACCAACAGAUUCUCUCCGAGUCUAUUUCAUUACUGGUAAGAAUCUUUCUUGAUUCUUACUGAUAUAGACAAAAAAGGGUGCGAUUAGUCUUGAGAAAUUGAGUCAGAUUGAAAAGUUGAACUUAGUUAUCAAGGAGCUCGUUAAGGAAAAAGACGAAGAAAAAGAAAGGUUCAAUGGAAUUAUUGCGGGGUUGUUGGCUGAUAAAGAAAAAGAUAAGGUGGAUAAAGAUGCUAUGCUUGAUAGGAUGUCACAAAUUGAAGCUAUGUUAACAGCUACAGUUCGAAGAUAGGCUAUAAACACUUGAUUUUGAAUGUUUAGAUGUUUAUCUUAUUAGGAUAAUUUUAGUUAUUCUAUGUUUUAGUUGGUAUUUUUAUAUGCUUUUGAAAACGAGAUGUUUUAUAUAAUUUUGUGAUUUUAUUAGACUUUUUUUAUAUUA